GUUCACCGCCUGGACUCUGGGAAGGGGACGCCACGCUCCUUCUGCGCAUGUGCAGCCGUAGCCUCCUCGUUCGUCUUCUCAGGACUCCAGAGAACCGUUGGGGAACUUUGGGGUGUGCUCGGAAAAUGCAGGAUGCGCUGCUGUCACACAUGUCCACCACCACAUGUGACAUUAGUGACGUUAUCCUGAUGUCACAGGAUCCAAGAAUGAUGAUCUGUGAAGAGUUUUCCGAGGUCACCUACUUCUAACUCUUUUGAAAGAUUUAAAGACAUUGGGCCUGAAAAUUUCAGUGACUUGUCCAGGGAAACGCAGUUUGUGACAGUUCACUCUCUCACAGGCUUUCCGUGGAUUGUGUAUACCAGGGG
rnacentral:lncRNA from 1 species